GCCAGCGGGGCUGACGCGCUCUGGCCCCUCUUUUUGACCCGCAGAAGUCGCUCAGCAGUCCAGGGCUCCUCCCCGCCCAGCCCUUCAGUGUCCGGCUCAGGCCGUGUGGCUUUUACCGUGAAUAAAGCUCCCUGGGAGAACGUGUGACCUUGAAGUUGCAUUGGAGUUUCCUGUGAAAUCUACCCUCAUCUCUGCAGCUGAGAGGCUUCAGGGCUGCAGAGAAAGCUCUUACGAUGCACCCCGCUGCUUGCAGAGACUGUGCCGUUCUGUAAAGAGAUGGAUGCUUGACUAGUUCUAGUUUGCACACUGAACCAUUUUGUGAGGUUUCAGAAAUGUUUCAUUUUUUUCAGUGACUAAACCAGGUUGCUCAUUUGAUAUUCAUCUGUUAAGGAAACUAGAGUCAAUGUAAUAAAGUAUUUAAAAACCA